AAAUUGAUAUAUGUUCUAAAAUUAUACGAUAACAACUCUACGAUUUUAAUGUUAUAUUUUCUUUGUAGAGAAUACGAGUGUUACUACAGUGAUGGAAGAACCCUUUACUGUGAAAGCUGUUGCGAAUACGAGUGUUGCGACGGUGGGGACGGACUGUCUGGUGGUGCCAUUGCAGGGAUUGUAGUAGGUACUAUAAUUCUCCUGGCGCUGAAAGUCUGCUGUAUCUGUGCCCGAGUGAGGAGGUAUCAACGAUGUACAAGAACAACUAUUGUCACUGUCCCAAGAUCUGUUGUUGUAACUAAUCAACACCAUGUCGGCUACGACCAAACAAGAAUCCCAACAAUUCAUCAGCCAAACCCUAAUCAAGCAAGGAACGUGAACCAGACUGGAUACGACCAACAAGUGCCCAAUUUCGAGCCAAUCCCUCCACCGCCGUAUGAGAGUGUAACUAAACAAACACAGAAAUGAACUGGAUUGUGUAGAGAGAUAGCAAGAGAAAAGAACUUAUCACUGUAAAGCCUGUCUAAAAUGACCACCUAUAAAUCGGAAAGAAAUCAGUGACUUGUAAGGCCAGGUGGUCUCUGUGUACAUGUGACUUCUAACACAGGCUUGACUGUAUAUUUGCUAGUAGGUUAGAUAAUUCAUUGACAAAGUCAAACAAUUGUGAACAAAGAAAUGAAAAUGAUGUACAUAUAAAUGUGUAUGUUUUAUGAGCAGUAUGUAUUUACACUUGCCCUACAAUAAAUCAUUAAAUUUUGUCACCUUCUUACAAUCGAGAUACUGGUAUAGUGCGCAUAAACUAUAAAUCGUUCAUAUUUUAUUGCAUUUUUCUUCGACAACAUCAUUCAUACAUAAAGAACACUUGAAAUAUUUAUACUGCAGAAACAGUACGAGUAUAAAUGUUACGAUUCUUACAUUUAUUUACUUUAACACUAGAUCGUUAGGCAAAUAUAGCAAUUUACGUAGCUGCAAUUAUAUCUUAUCUUUACCGUUCGUUUGCAUUUAUUACUUGAAAAGAAACUUGUUUUAUAGAUGUGUUCAUAGUUCAGAAUAUAAACGACAGCAUAGUAAAAGUGAUAUUCUAAUUCAACAUUUUUGUGUACAAAUUUUGCUAAUUCUAUCAUUUCCGCUUGACUCUGUUACAAAUUUUCAUCAAAGUAUUAUGUUUAAUUAUAAUGUUUAUUUGAACAAAACAUAUACAUGUUACUUGAACCAAAGAGUUCUUGUUUCAUUUCAAAUUAUAAAAUAAAGCGAAUUAAUUGUCCAUCAUAUCUAAUUAAAUAUCUAAAUUACUUUACUGACCUUUUGUAUUAUUCUAUACUUUAUCUGCUCAAUGUAAAGAGUUCUUACAAAACAUG